GACGAACGCUGGCGGCGUGCCUAAUACAUGCAAGUUGAGCGCUGAAGGUUGGUACUUGUCCCAACUGGAUGAGCAGCAAACGGGUGAGUAACGCGUGGGGAAUCUGCCUUUGAGCGGGGGACAACAUUUGGAAACGAAUGCUAAUACCGCAUAAAAACUUUAAACACAAGUUUUAAGUUUGAAAGAUGCAAUUGCAUCACUCAAAGAUGAUCCCGCGUUAUAUUAGCUAGUUGGUGAGGUAAAGGCUCACCAAGGCGAUGAUACAUAGCCGACCUGAGAGGGUGAUCGGCCACAUUGGGACUGAGACACGGCCCAAACUCCUACGGGAGGCAGCAGUAGGGAAUCUUCGGCAAUGGACGAAAGUCUGACCGAGCAACGCCGCGUGAGUGAAGAAGGUUUUCGGAUCGUAAAACUCUGUUGGUAGAGAAGAACGUUGGUGAGAGUGGAAAGCUCAUCAAGUGACGGUAACUACCCAGAAAGGGACGGCUAACUACGUG
rnacentral:rRNA from 1 species